rnacentral:rRNA from 1 species
UGUGACUUUAAGUUUAACGGCCGCGGUAUUUUGACCGUGCGAAGGUAGCGCAAUCACUUGUCUUUUAAAUGAAGACCCGUAUGAAUGGCACCACGAGGGCUUAGCUGUCUCCUUUUUCAAGUCAAUGAAAUUGAUCUCCCCGUGCAGAAGCGGGGAUAAUAACAUAAGACGAGAAGACCCUAUGGAGCUUCAGACCUAGUACAGAUCACGAAAAAUACUUUAAGACAAAAAAGAAAAGCCCAAUGACCCCUGCACAACUGUCUUUGGUUGGGGCGACCGCGGGGAAAAACAAAACCCCCACGAGGACUGAGAGUUUUACUCCUAAAACCAAGAGCCACAGCUCUAAGUAUCAGAAAUUCUGACCUAAAUGAUCCGGGCAACCGAUCAACGAACCGAGUUACCCUAGGGAUAACAGCGCAAUCCCCUUCCAGAGCCCAUAUCGACAAGGGGGUUUACGACCUCGAUGUUGGAUCAGGACAUCCUAAUGGUGCAGCCGCUAUUAAGGGUUCGUUUGUUCAACGAUUAAAGUCCUACGUGAUCU